rnacentral:rRNA from 1 species
AUUGAACGCUGGCGGCAGGCCUAACACAUGACAGUCGAGCGAGCGGCGGACGGGUGAGUAAUGUUUGGGGACUGCCCGAUGGAGGGGGAUAACUACUGGAAACGGUGGCUAAUACCGCCUACUAUCGGAUACGCCAAAUUGGAUUAGAUAGUAGGUGGGGUAAAGGCGCACCUAGGCGACGAUCUCUAGCUGGUCUGAGAGGAUGAUUAGCCACCCUUGGACUGCGACACUGCCCCGACUCCUCCUGAGGCAGCAGUGGGGAAUAUUGCACAAUGGGCGCAAUCCUGAUGCAGCCAUGCCGCGUGUAUGAAGAAUUCCUUAGGGGUGUAAAGUACUUUCAGCGGCGAGGCGUUACCCGCAGAAGAAGCACCGGCUAACCCCGUGCCAGCAGCCGCGGUAAUAC